rnacentral:tRNA from 13 species
CAUGAUGGCUUAGUUGGUAAAACAGCUAUUGCUUCAAUUUGGGGUUGCAGGUUCAAAUCCC